AUCCAGCUGACGACGAGUCCGAAAUAGGACGAAACGCGCGUCAAACUGAAU
rfam:Schistosoma curassoni strain Dakar, Senegal genome assembly, scaffold: SCTD_scaffold0008584